rnacentral:lncRNA from 1 species
AGCAACACAGCCACGUGACUCAUCCAGCAGUCAUUUCCAGUGGCUUUACAAAGCAUGGACGUGCCAUGGCCCUGACUACCCAUUCUGUCUGCUGGGAAGCUGGUUCUCAGGACCUGCCUGGGAGGACGAGUUCACCGGGUCAUCAUAAAAUCUAGCAACAGAGGCUAAUACACAUAAUAAAUGGCGUAUUGGUAUUACAUACAACAGAUGCAUUCACAUUGCUAUCCCUCAUUAUCAACGCGAAGUCUAAAGUGCUGGUGAGAAUUGCAAUGAAUGCGGGGCCCUUGGCACGUUCCGUCAGUCCCUACACACACACCUGUGAUGGGUUGCCUCAGAUAACUGUGCUUAGAUUUUCCUUGAGUAAAUCUUACCAUUAAUAUACCCCUAGAAGAAGAAAUCUAGGGUGUUUAGUCUGUAAAAAAAAAAAUAGAUGUUGGUCAUUCUAUAUGAUGUCAUAACACAUCCACAUAGGAUGAGUCGUGAUGGCUUUCCUCACAGUCUCCUAGCUUAAUAGGGACAUCUGUAUUAAGCACAUCUCCUCUUUGCCAGACAGCGUGUGAAUUCCUUACGACAUAUAAAAUGUCUUCAACUUUGUAGAAUCUUUUUCCCUAUGAGAGCGUGGGCACUCAGAAGACAAGGCGCUUCUCGGUGGCAGAGCUGAGCACACUCUCCAGUGUAUGGAACAUAAUUAUUAUCGGUCCUCCAAGCAUUUCUUACUUAUUUUACUUAUUUAUUUACUAUCUUUCAUUUUCAUACUCAUGGGCAG